AACUCUGUAGCUCAGAGGAUAGAGCGCAAGGCUCAUAAUUCGCUUAAGAAUGAGAGACCAUUUUCCCUGCGUACACGCUUUCAGCAGGGUAUGACAAAAAAUAUAACCUUGAGGUCGCUGGAUCGAAACUAGCCAGAGUUA
rnacentral:tRNA from 1 species